ACCAAAAGCACAUUUCAGUGAACCAAGACUGUCACUGAGGCCUCCAAAAAAAGAAAAAAAAAAGGUACAUGCCCAGCAAAAAGGUCUUUGACAUCCUCAAGGAAACAAAAAAAUAAGUCAAAACCUUGUGCACAUGCACUAAUAUGAAUAAUCUCUCAAAUUAAUGUGUAUAAUGCUUAAAAACUCAGUCCGACAUUCACCAGGCAAAGGUCAUCUCGCAAAGGCCCAGUGGACACGGAUCGUGUGCCAAGCUGACGCAUUUAUUCUUGCAUUUCAAAUGUGCUAUCAAAAGGCAGAAGGAUGCAGGAAACCUCCAGACUCUUGCCUUGACAGAGUUAAAACCGCAGGUCGCCCUCAUGCAAUCGCAGAGACCAGAACUGCUGUGACAGGUUUUCUCCUUGUGCUCUUCCUCAGUGCUGUUCCAUAAAAGCUCACGCGCUUUGACGCUAAUGUUUUUCCGAAGCCCUCCCUUAACGACGCUGAAAUAAAGUCCUUCCCCUGAGGAGACACUGGCAUUAGAGUCAAGCCAAGUCGUGAUAGUGCCACCACCGCGGCACCGGUUUAUUCGCAAGCGCUCGCUGCCACUAUUGACUUGGCGGAUUAGCACGCCACGCAUGAGCCCUCCUCGGCCCCCACCGCCAGGAUCCAUGAGAACAGAAUGGGGUCAGAGGCGCGUUAGGGCAGAACACACUUAGAUGCACCAGAUUAGAUUAUUUGAAGCCCUUUGCCGAGCUCUCGUCCUGACAACAAAUAUCCCCGGGCCACUCGGAGAUGGUCACUGGGCGACUGCUCGCGACGUGGCAAAAACAAUGUGUUGAUUUUGAUCUAGCGUGGAGCCGCUCCCUCUGUCCAUAGCAGUUAUGUAAAUAAACAUGUCAUUCGGGAGGUUAAAGCUAAUUUCAGACCCUCCGUUUUAGAUUAUGUCAAAGAAAGAGGAGCAGAAAAACAUGCUUGUGACCUUUCGGCUAAGGCUGUCUGUGUGGCUAAUUUACAAGUGCUGUGUUAAAGUCCGGGGUCAGGCAUUUUAAAUGGCCGGGCAUUUUUUCCAUUGCCUGUUUCAUUAAAAAAAAAAAAAGCAUUGUGGGCUUCGGGACGCGCAACUCUCCGGAUCUGACCUCUACAUCACAGAGGCAUGCUCUGUUAAAUUAGUUUGAUGUGUUGCCCUGAGCACAUGUAGCAUUUAGUCUAUUGUCCACUUUCACCUCACAGCUCUCGCUUUUAACCCUUUGCAUUUAAUAACAGGGUCCUAAUGGAAAUCUACAUCUCAGAACGAUGGACUUGGUUGCUGAGCGAGAGAGCAGCGUUUCGAAUCCAGAGCCAGCCAAAUGUGGGUUUUGUCUUCCCUUUAAUCUCCUCAUCCAUCCUUUCACUCCUUUUUCCCCCCUUCUUUGUUGUUCUCAUCAGAAAGCGAGAUUUGCAUUGCUCUUCGGUGUCCUAUCCUAUCUCUUUUGUUCUCGCUCUCUCUCCUGAUUUGACUGGAUUGUGGAAGAGAGAUGAUUGUGUAGCCUCAGGGCGAUGCGUCAAUGUCAGGAGAAUCAACGUGCAGACGCUCGGUAAACACGGGAAACUAAACAAGGUGUUUGUAAAUGGCAAAAAAUGGGGCUGAUCUCUCAACUCUUUCUCUUUUGUGCGCUAACAUCGCCGUCUUUCCCUCUAACUGCUGAGGAAAAUACAUAGCCGGUGUGAUUUAUCAUCUAUACAUAAUGUAAUAUCGCAUGAGCUUCAACGGCUCAAUCAGUUAUGUUAUUUCAAGAUUAAACUAUUAAAUAAUCACAUCUAAUAAAAUAUCUAUAUGAUUUCGGAUUCAUUUUCCAUACUGAGAAUCAAUCAACAAACAAUGUCCUUUGAAUUAAUUUUUCAAGAGACUUAGAGCUCAAGUGAGGAAUGAAAAUCGAGAUGGAUGUACAAAUUCAAACGAUAAAAGAGUUACAUUUUAGAUUUUAGUAGAGAAAACAAAUAGUUUCUGUACCUAACUUUGACAAAUAAUUACAUGCACUGCUUCAUAUUCUAAAAGCAUUUCCUUUAAACUAUUUUGGGCUCGAUUUAUUCCAAUCGCAGUUGUUUAUUUCCAGGCCCUGGGAACUUGUCUAUGAUGUAAAGAUUGUGAGGGCUACAAGACAUAAUGCUAUUGAUUUGCCUGUGAAUCGGGUGGACAGCGACCAUGCUGCAAUCUGGGGCAACGUCAGAGCAUGUGUGCGUACCACAUCAGAGCUCUGCAGAGAGGACAUGACAAUGUUUUGAUACGGUCAUCAUGUUCUCAUGCCUGAUGCCCUGUAAUUCCUCUGUGACAGAGCCGAGACAUAAUGAGAUCCAUAUGGGGCUGCUAGAGACCGCCAGAUCAGCACUGGAGAUAGACAGGACCAAGAAAGGUCCAUCCGCAUGGCUCUAUCAAACCAGCAUCAGUGUCAUGCCUGCAGCCCGUUCACUGACUGUCUGAUGCAUGUGUCACUAAAAAAGCAAGCACUUUCUCAAACUGACAAGCUUUAAUGUGAUUGGUUGACUACUAUGUUACUUCUAAAGACCAAAGCAUACUUCAUUCAUGGAGUCGAAGGCAUAGCCUUUCAAAGUUUACUCCAUUUAAUAGCGUGCGCUAACACAGGCGGUCGACAAGGCAUUACUCCGGUAUUAUGUUGUUGUUGUUUUGUCUCUUUAGUUUUGUUUUCUACUGUGAAACAACAGUGCGGCCCAGUGCUGCCACCUUGUGGAACAACUGAUUAGUGCAAAACCAAGUCAACGUGCAUGUUUUACAAAAAUCAAAGGGUGUGCGUACUGUUUUAGUGAUGAAAUUUGUGUCAUUAAGGGUGUAUGAAUACAGCAAUCGCACUCGGGUGCAGACCAAACAAUUGUACCGAGACCCAGCUGAAGAGGUGGUCUCGGUCCAGUUCCAAACAAACUCUGGUAUGGUUGGAUAGAUGAAGUUUUAAAUUUAUAUAAAAUUAAUAGUAGUAAUAAAUAAAUAAUACAUAACGUGGAUUCUAUAUUUAAUACACAAUAUGAUCUUAUAACUUGUUAUUAACUUUCUAUUUACAAUGUAAUAUAAUGUAAUAUAAUAUGUAACCACAUGAUUAUACAAUGAUGGUUUUAUAUCUGUGUCAGUUCUGAUUGGGAAUAAACUGUAUGUGUGUG
ensembl:lncRNA